rnacentral:rRNA from 1 species
UUUCACUGAAACAAGGGGAAAGCUCAAAUGGGGUCUUGACCUCCGAGGCAGCAGUAAAGAAUUUUGUGCAAUUUACGAAAGUAAGACACAGAGAGGGCACCUUAUCUAGUCCGUCAAAUUAAGUGCCAGCAGACGCGGUGAAACUUAAGGGCUAGUUUUGCAGAUAAAAGCGUAAAGGGUGUGAUAGGCCGUUUAAAUUAAAAUAGGAAUUAUAAUUUAAGAGGGUAAAUGGAAUUUUUUUGUAACGGUGGAAUGUUUAAAUAGAAAAAAGAACUUUAGAUGUGAAGACUAUUUAUCUCCGUGAUUAUAGUGGGAUGGCUAAAACACGAGAGUAUGGGGAGCAAACAGGCUUAGGUAUCCUGGUAGUCUAUACUGUAAAUAAUGAAAAAAAUGUGAAGCAAUCCUAAAAAGUAAGAAAUUUUCCGCUUGAGUAGUACGAUCGCAAGGUUAAAAUUCAAAAAACUUGGUUGUUCACUGUUCAAAUUAGAGGAGCGUGUCGUUUAAUUCGAUAGUCCGCGAAAGACCUUACCCAAACUUGAAUUACCCAUUGACAGGUAUUGCAUGGCCGUCGUCAAUUUGUGUAUAAAACAUAAAACAGAUUUAACCCAGUGGGUUGGAGUCACCCUUUCUAUUGGAUGAAGUCAGGUCUUAUUGUCCUAAUGUUUGGGGAUUAGAUGCGCUACAUUUUUUUAUACAAUGGGAAACUUUGAAUGUGGAACCCUAAAAUAAGAGUUCGGAAAGUGCCUGGAAGAUAACAGAAAGUUGGAUUUAAUAGUAAUUGAAAAGUAGAGCGUUUCAAUGAAAUUUCCUCAGUGUUAGCACAAAUAGCCCGUCGCCUUUGCUUAGAAAGAUUGGUUGGUUGCUUUUCAAGAGGGUUUCUAAGAUCUCCGAGGCAGAGUAAGUCGUAACA